AACGCGAAGAACCUUACCUGGUCUUGACAUCCACAGAACUUAGCAGAGAUGCUUUGGUGCCUUCGGGAACUGUGAGACAGGUGCUGCAUGGCUGUCGUCAGCUCGUGUUGUGAAAUGUUGGGUUAAGUCCCGCAACGAGCGCAACCCUUAUCCUUUGUUGCCAGCGGUUCGGCCGGGAACUCAAAGGAGACUGCCAGUGAUAAACUGGAGGAAGGUGGGGAUGACGUCAAGUCAUCAUGGCCCUUACGACCAGGGCUACACACGUGCUACAAUGGCAUAUACAAAGAGAAGCGACCUCGCGAGAGCAAGCGGACCUCAUAAAGUAUGUCGUAGUCCGGAUUGGAGUCUGCAACUCGACUCCAUGAAGUCGGAAUCGCUAGUAAUCGUAGAUCAGAAUGCUACGGUGAAUACGUUCUCGGGUCUUGUACACACCG
rnacentral:rRNA from 1 species